CGAUUCCCGCCGCUCGCC
rnacentral:tRNA from 1 species